CCCGAAAAGUGAUACUAUUAACAAUGCGGCUGGUAUCGAUCCCAGGAUACCUAGACUCUAAACAAAACGAGAGAAACAAUGCGAUAUGAGAAAAGGCAUUCAAUGAAUGAAACUUGCAUUAUGGAUCCACACUCAUGCGCAUGGACUAGAACUACAUAUAUAGAGGGGGAUUUUGGGGCAUAGUGAACAGUUUAAGAAUAUCUUAUUUGAUGUAGGGUCAAUGCUUUAAAUCGUAGCAAAAUAGUUGUUUACAUGAA